UGAAACUCUACUACUUGACAUGCUGGCUGUUGCCGUACUCAAUUUUUUCCUCUUAAUCCUCUUUUUUAGAUUAAAAAAUCCUUGUUAGGUCCCUGAACUAAAAAUUAAUUUUGGCCAUUUUGAAAAAUAGUCUGAAGCCGUGUAUAAAUUUAAUGGAAUCAAAACAAUGCACUACCAAUAUUAUUUCAAGCUGGUGUUGAGGUUUACAUAGAGGACCACUUCAUAGGCAUGUCUAAUUGGGCAAAGGAAAUGAGCUCAUUAAGUUUAAAGCCAGAAGUUGAACUAUGUCUGAUAAAUGAGUGAAGCAGCAUUUUGAAAUGUUGCACUUUGUCUGGCUUACGAACAGGUAAGCGUGAAUCAUCAGAUGCUGAGAAAGCUUCUAAAGUAUGUAAUUUGUUUUUCCUUAAUGUAAGUAGUGUCUAAUAUCUGAUCGUGAUUUUUUUUAGCAGAAGUUCAAAAGAAAGAUCUCGUGAAGAGGCACUGAAAGAAAUCAAAGCGGAAAAAAUGCUGAAGAAAGAGGAAAAGCGAGAAGACUCGGAGAGACGUGUGCGAGAGAAGAAAGCUGCUGAUGAGCGAUCUAGUCCUUCAUGGGAAUCGUCAAAUAGGGAGGAAUCAAGUCGGCAGAGCUCAAUGCAAUUCUCGAAAGACGAUUUAUCAAUAACACGGAAAUAUCAUGAUAGCAAUCAUUACUACACUGGGAGCAGUUCGCAGCCGCAAGUUGUUGAUGAACGGGAAUUGAGCAGUAUUUCUAAUUCCAGUGGUGGAUCUCUGCAUAGGCAUAGUCCAGAACCUGACAGAGAUUUGAAGCGGCGAAAAGUCGAAAGCAGCUCUUCAUCGAAGAGUUACAAAGUAGAGGAGCAACCAAAACAUAUUGAGUCUCUGAUAACACUCGACAAGAAAGAAAGGAGGGAUAAGUCUUCAAAGAAAACAUCCAAGUCUUCUGAUGGAGGUGAUUCAGCCAGAAAACCAGAUAAGCGAGACAGGAAAUCUCGAAAACGGGUAUGUUAA
rnacentral:lncRNA from 1 species